GAAGUCCGUCCUGACCAGAUCUGCUGUCCAGACCCCACCGAGGACCGAGUGGACGUUGGUUUUGGUGAUCAGUGCUGUGGCUCUAUACCCUAUGACUCCAGUGGGGCUCAGCUGUGUUGUACUGGUACCCUGUAUGACAAGUAUGGUAAACAGUGCUGUGGCAGACAGCUGAUAGAGAGUGAUGUCACAUGUUGUGGUGGUAGUGAGGAGGGGAUAGCAUACACAACCAAUAUACAGAACACCUGCUGUGGUACAGAGUAUGUCUCCACUGCUACCACUGCUUGCUGUGUGGAUGAGGAAGGAAAGGCAAAGUCUCACACAUAUGACAGUGCUACAGAGAAGACUAAUUCCAACGAGAAAUGCUG